GACAGAGGGUGCAAACGUUGUUCGGAAUCGCUGGGCAUAAAGCGCACGUAGGCGGCCCACUAAGUCAGUUGUGAAAGCCCCCGGCUCAACCGGGGAAUGGCAUCUGAUACUGGUGGGCUUGAGGAAGGUAGGGGUGGGCGGAACUCCAGGUGGAGCGGUGAAAUGCGUGGAUAUCUGGAGGAACACCGGUGGCGAAAGCGGCCCACUGGACCUUCUCUGACGCUGAGGUGCGAAAGCUAGGGUAGCAAACGGG
rnacentral:rRNA from 1 species